rnacentral:rRNA from 1 species
UACGUAGGGGGCAAGCGUUGUCCGGAAUCAUUGGGCGUAAAGCGCGUGUAGGCGGCCCGGCAAGUCCGCUGUGAAAGUCGGGGGCUCAACCCUCGAAUGCCGGUGGAUACUGUCGGGCUAGAGUGCGGAAGAGGCGAGUGGAAUUCCUGGUGUAGCGGUGAAAUGCGCAGAUAUCAGGAGGAACACCAAUUGCGAAGGCAGCUCGCUGGGACGUGACUGACGCUGAGACGCGAAAGCGUGGGGAGCGAACAGG